rnacentral:misc_RNA from 1 species
CUGCGAGUUCGCGGGAGAGUAAGUUAUUGCCAGGGUUUUUAUUUUAUAAUUUAAACAUUGAUUUUAUUUUUUAUGUUUUUAUAUGUUCAUGUUUUUGAAUGUUUUAUUCAAAUAAUGUAAAAAAUAAAAUAUAUAUUGACAUGGAUUAAACAAAGAUAUAUAUUAUUCUAUGUUGCAUAAACAAAUUGGCAAAAUAGAGAUGGAAGAUAAAAAUAUGGUCAAAGUAAUAAGAGUCUAUGGUGAAUGCCUAGGA